CCCUUUGUGAGGCGCGGGAGAGAUGUGCACCCCACAUCUCUUUGCUUGAGUCCUGGUCCGCAAGAUGGGUGCUUGUUCGUGUGCCCCACCCCACCCCCACGCCCGAGGCCGGGUGCGGCAACUCCGCCCGCCAGCCGCUCCUGCAUUAAAAUUUCAUGGGCGCUGCAGUAAACGCGAAGACGACGCCGGUUGCGCUGGGGGGCCGUAGGGAGGGAGGCUGCGGACCAGAGCGGGGAGGAGUUUGCGAGGGGAGGCGCUUGGGAGGACUCCCCCAGUUCUGUUAAGAGCUGGGCACAAAGAGCCCUUUGCACUCCAGCCGCAGGAGCGAGGAGGAGCCGAGCUAGAUGCACAUGGGCGUGGGGACUCCGGUACAACACCAACCCACAAGGUUAGCAGACCUGGGGCGUCCAGCGCAGCCUCAAACCCAGGGCAUCUCUGCACUCUCAUCGCGACGUCGCUCUGGAUGCUGUUUGCAUAUCCUUGGGGAGUCACUGCUUUGGCACAACAGUCCUGCGAGGUGGAUCUUACUAUGUUUCCAGGAUGGCCUGGAACUCACAGAGUUCUGCAUCUGCCUUCUAAGCACUGGGAUUAAAAGAAUGCUUAUAAUCACCCACUGUACCUGGCUGGAAUUCCGUCUGUUCUCAUCACACGGACAUGGCUGAUCUGUCUCAGUGGUACCUGGGGGCAAAGCAGGGAGCCGGGCGGUGGAGGCCAACAUUGUUACCAAGUUGGCUCUGUCUCAACACAGGGACUGAGCCUUCUGAGCCUCAAGCUUUCUCUCUACACUAUGAGACUGAAUCAGCCUGACUCUGGAACUAGGGUUCCCUGGAAACCUCCACUGUCCUCACAAUGACCAGGAUUCAGUGCACGCUGUGACGGGGUCACUGUGGGUUUGUUCACAGAGUUCCUGCUGGUUCCCAGGUGGUGGA
rnacentral:lncRNA from 1 species